rnacentral:rRNA from 1 species
UACGUAGGGGGCAAGCGUUGUCCGGAUUUAUUGGGCGUAAAGAGCCCGCAGGCGGCUUGUCUAGUCCGAGGUGAAAUCUCCCGGCUCAACUGGGAAACUGCAUCGGAAACUGAUCGGCUUGAAGAUGGGAGAGGGUAGUGGGAUUCCCGGUGUAGUGGUGAAAUGCGUAGAUAUCGGGAGGAACACCAGUGGCGAAGGCGGCUCACUGGACCGAGACUGACGCUGAGGCGCGAAAGCGUGGGGAGCAAACAGG